UCCAUGAGUAAAGUGGCGACCGGGUGAGUAACACGUGACUAACCUACCUUCGAGUGGGGGAUAACCUCGGGAAACCGAGGCUAAUACCGCAUAAUAUCGCAAGAUCAAAGCAGCAAUGCGCUGGAAGAGGGGGUCGCGGCUGAUUAGCUAGUUGGCGGGGUAACGGCCCACCAAGGCGAAGAUCGGUAUCCGGCCUGAGAGGGCGCACGGACACACUGGAACUGAAACACGGUCCAG
rnacentral:rRNA from 1 species